UCCCGAAGAAAUCCUCCUGCUCCUCUGUGUACUUCCUCCUGCUUUUAUCCCCUUCCGGACCAAACCUGCUCCUCUUCUGACCCUCGCUGCUUUUCUUUGCCUCAGCGUUGGGGCAUAGAUAGAAGUGGUGCUCAGGAGUAUCUCCAUCCUUGCAGUCCUGGUUUCUGCACAGGAAUCCAGGUUUGCACUGUGAGCCCUCGCCAUGAACCUCCAAACAUCUCUUGCAUGCUCCCAAUCUUUUUACUGCAGCUCUCUUCUCUGCUAGUUUCAGUGCUCGGAACGGUCUGCAAAAAUAGAUCUUUGUCCUGUGUUUAACAUCAUUGCAGACCACACACCCUUCUUGGUCUUUGCUUGAUUUGGUUGACUUGGUUCCGGCAUAUCUUGGCUCCACCUUGGUUUCUCUCCUGCUUGGCUCUUCCUCCUCCAAUUGCUCAAGCUGUUCAUAUAUGCUUUCCUGGCCUUUGAGGAAUGCCAAGAGACUGUCGAACCGAUUACUUGAUGUCACAUCAUUUCUUCUGUCAGCUGCAUACACAAGCCAUUCCUUCUUGAGUGUCUCCGGGAGUUUACUUUCAAUGGACUUAGUCACAAGGGGAUUUUUAAUAGCACCUGUGUCCCCAAGGUCACUCAAAUCUUGAAGUGCUUUCCCCACAGCUUGAAUUAAGUCGACGAUUUUCCGUGGCUGGUGACUUUUAACAGCUGGCAUCUUCUGUAUCCCCUCGACUAUUUCUAUGGCAAUGGAUGUUUGGUUGCCAUAGCGGUUCUCUAGCACACGGAAGAUGUCAUCAGACGUGUUGUAAGCCGUGAGCCGAAGGUCUCGUGUGAUUUUAUCCUCCAGGCUGUCUAGUAGCUGGACCUUUUUCACUUCUUUUGAGCCAGUCGGCCUGGUAACUCCCGUCAAGCAGAAGGGAGCUAUCCUGGUACGUAGGGCAUUUCAGGAAGCAAAGGGUGGAAGUGCACCUGUGAAGGACUCAUGGGAUACAGCGCUCUCAGAUGCACUUAGGGAGGAUGCAAUAAAGCUCUUUGAGGAGUACGGCCAACUUGCCAAAGUCAAGUUCACCAGAGCACUGACUCCCCCAAGCUUUACUGAUGGUCCCUUGGCGAUCACAUUCUCUGAUGGUAGCGAGCAUACUUAUGGAGCAGUGAUGUACCUCCGAUGGAGUUCAGACCAGGGCCCGGUCAUCCGGCUGGUGGAGUCCAAAGCAAAACUUACUCCUUUGGAUCAAGGAGGGGAUGCUGUCAAAGCAGAAAUGUGUGGAGCAGUGUUUGCCUCACGGCUGAAAAAGUACUUUGAACUGCACAGCCGAAUCCAGAUUCAGAGGUGGUACCAUUUUGUUGAUAGCCAGACCAUCCUUGGUGCCAUACAGCGGGAAAGCUAUGGGUAUCAGACGUUCUUCGCAAAUAGGAUCGGGGAGAUUCAAAGCAACACAAGGGUCCAGGACUGGUGGUGGAUUCCUGGCCCACAAAACAUUGCGGACGUUAUAACAAGAGGAGCCAGCCAUCAAGACCUUGAUGAGGACUCAGAGUGGCAAAAAGGUCUGAAGUUUCUAAGCUUGCCAGUGGAGGAGUGGCCAAUCACAUCAGCCAAAGAACUCGCAGCCACUGCCAGGGAGAAUGUCACAAAACUUCAAAAAAAGGCAUAUGUUGCUGCACUGACCAGAGCUCAGGCUAAGAAGCAGCCAGUGGAGCACGAACUGAAACAGGAGGCACAAACGGAGCAAAGGAGGCUACCUGCGGGGUCAGCAAUCCAAACGCUGGUGGAUGUCAGGAGAUACAGCACUCUGAGCCGUCUGGUAAAGACAGUUGCAUGGAUCUGGAGAGCGGCAAAACAGUUUGGCAAACCAGGUCAAGCCGUGGAGAGUCCAAAGUGGGAGGCAAUCUCCUCCACAGGAGUCAUCUCUGUAAGGGAACGAGAGGAUGCCCUGAGAGACAUUUUUCUUGCAGCACAAGAAAACACAACCUUCCCUGGCACCACGUUAGACAGGCUUGUGGUCCACAAAGCCAAAGAGACUGGGCUGCUGGUCUGUGGAGGCCGAGUGCAAAGCUUCAAGGAAGCUCAAGUUAGCAUCCCCCUCUUACCCUAUGGCGCCUGGGUGUCCGAGCUGAUAGCUCGAGAGGCCCACAAUGAAGGUCAUGAGGGAGUGGCUGGAACCCUCCUAAAAAUGAGGAGGAAGGCAUGGGUCGUUAAAGGGAGGAGGAUCGCACAAAAAGUUGUUGAUGGUUGCAUGGUCUGCAGGAAAAGAAAAGCAAAGACGUGUCAACAAGUAAUGGCUGACUUGCCGCCAGAAAGGACUGAACCUGCUGCGCCAUUUGAGUUCACAUCAGUUGACCUCUUUGGCCCUUACCAAGUUAAAGAUGACGUCAAGAAGAGAGUGACACUAAAGGUCUGGGGAGUUGUCUUUUGCUGCAUGGCAAGCAGAGCCAUUCACACCGAGCUGGCAAACACCCUGUCAACUGAAAGCCUCCUAAUGGCUUAUCAAAGGUUCACAGCAAUCAGAGGUCAUCCAAGAAAGAUGUUGUCGGACCCAGGCACCAAUUUUAUUGGAGCAAAACCAGUCCUGGAGGAGCUCUACAGGGUUUUAGACCUAGACAGAGCAAACCUUGAAGAGACCGCCGCAAGGAAUGGGACUGAGUGGCAGUGGAAAAUCCAUCCAGCCGAUUCUCCACACAGGAAUGGUGCUGCAGUGAGAAUUGUAAAGAGGGCCCUCCAGAGUCUUGGGAAUGAGGCCUCACUAAGCUACAGUGAGUUCCAGACAACUCUUUACAUCGCAGCCAACCUAGCAAAUGAGCGCCCAAUUGACGCAAGAGUACAGAGCAGAGAGGACUGCAUUCAGUAUGUCACACCCAACACUCUCCUACUGGGCCGGGCCUCUCAAAGUGGGGACUUGAAAACCUUCGACUUUCACAACUACCCGUACAAAAGACUGAGAGCGAUGCAGUCGGAGGUGACCAGGUUCUGGAGGACCUGGAGCCAACUCGCUGGUCCGAACUUAUUUGUCCGAAGCAAAUGGCAUACUGGACAAAGAAAUGUUGCCAUCGGAGAUGUUGUGUGGCUGUGUGACCAAAAUGCACUACGAGGGCAAUUCAAGCUUGGAAGAGUCAUCAGCACGACCCCAGAUGAUAAAGGCGUUGUAAGGGACGUCAAUGUAAGAGUUUUCCCAAGCUACUGUGUCCCGGUCACGAGAGCUCCGAAAGGCAAGUCAAUUCCUGGAAUCAGGAGGGAAAAGAUCCAAGCCACCGUCCUUCACAGGGACGUCAGGCGGCUCGUUGUCCUAUUACCUGCAGAAGAACAGACAGAAAGUCAAAAGCAGCAGGGAAAGGAGAACCAAGUUUGCCUUUGAAGCUGUCGAUCUUCACACCGUUUCCAGGCGAAGAUCGAGUGGGAGGUGUGAAGUCAAACUAACGCGAUAAUUAAGAAACUCACAUCGCAAGCUGGUAUGGAACCUUUCGGCAGUCCGAGUUUGCCGCACGGACUGUAAAGGAGGCGGCAGAACAUCUACAUAAGGAAGUGAAGAGAGAAGACGCAAACUGAAGCGUGCUUAGUAUCUGAUCCCGUGCAAACAAAUCUACAAACGCCAGAGAGGCAGCCGAUCAAUUUGGAGGAUGGAGUCGUAUCAGCCGAUCACAUCAUCUCUGCUCUGCCUGCUAAAGCCCUCUCGUCAGCCCUGCCUUCCUCCUGUCAACCUCUCAUCCAGGAGCUGCAGGACAUCGCCACGGUAACGGUCGCUGUG